AAGACAUGUCGAGGAUAAACUUGGCUUUGGAUGAACGGAUAUUUUUGUGCAGAAUUGUCGGUGCCUGGAUUUCAUUAAGUAAAGUUCUUUUAUUGAAGGUUCGAGAAAAAUACCUAUCAUUUGGUGCCAAAACCCGGGAUCUCUCAUACCGACCGCUGUCAGGCAGAGGAAGACGCGCUGAAUCCAUGCAUGGCCAGAAAUCAUUUGGACCUGGAAAGAAAGACCCAGGAAGUAAAUUCUUCGCUGGGCCGACGACGUACGUCCGACUUUGUCUGCCAACGGCGGGGUGACGAGAUCCGACUGGACAACCUGACAGCUACAGAAACGUAGGUGAAUUUUAAAAUGACUAUAUCUAGAGGUUUGAGAAUCCUUGUUAAACAGCGUUUUAACUAAAACUCUGAGGUUUAAGAAUCCUUGUUAAACUGCGUUUUGACUAAAAAUCUGUAAAGUUCUCAGGAAAGAAGAGGUGUUGCUAGAGCCCCUCUCUGAUUGAGGAGACCCCAUAAGGGUAAAUCCUCGGGCGGAUAGGAAGUUUGAAUUUGCUGUUUUGUCAUUACUGUGCUGACAUUGCUGUUUUGCUGCUGCUGCUUUGUUGAUGUGUGUGCGUGUGUGUGUAUGUGUGAAUGGUGCUUGAUUUCUUUGAGAGUAAAACUUUCUGUCCUUGGAAUUAGAAUCCUAGGUGAAGAACCGGACCAGAACUAGUCUGGCCUAGAAGACUGUUCUUCAGGAGACACAAGCGCUCACUUAGAGCACUCUCUUUGAAGAAAAAGCACAAAAUAUCAAGCCAUUGUAAGCUAAAUUGCAGGGUACUGAAAUAAUGGAAAAUAAGUGUUGUUGUAAUUCCUCACUUGCUGAGGACCCCGACAGGGAUGAAAAGUACAUGCUGUCCAGAUUUCCUGGUAGUACUGUACACAUAAAAAAAAAGGUAAACCUGUAAUUAAAGGACUUGUUUGCUAAAGAUCUUCUAAAAGCAAUAAACUUGUGAGUUCACCUGAAUUAACUAUUAAUCCUCCCAAAGACUUUAUGUGAAGCUAAAGUGAUUGUAACACAUGGGCAAUGCCAUGUGUAAAAAGGGGGGGGAAAGGGAAAAUGGUGAGGUAAUACUAUAUAACUACUAAAUUCUUACAUAAUUUUUUGUUAUUAUGAACUUUUGAAUUAACAAAUACUGUUAGAUGGUGAUUGAUGCUUUUUCUAAAUGAGUUGAAAUAGUUCCAGCAAAGCAUGCUUUUGAAAUAAUUCAUGGUAGAGCUUACAGAUUGCCUCUGUUUGCUCCAGACUUGCAGAAAGCAGAUGAAGUACAAACAUUAGCAGAUUAUAUGAUCAGAACUCUUACACUGAAGGAAGUGUCCAGUACAAAUUUACUGCCUUCUGAUUCCCUUCCUUGGCAGGAGGCCGCUCCCAUUGAGCCAGGAGACUGGGUCUACGUUAAAGUCAUCAAAYGAAAGAACUGGGCGAGUCCACRGUGGGAAGGACCGUUCCAGGUGCUGAUGACAACACCAACAGCUGUAAAGAUUGCUGAAAGACCCAGCUGGAUACAUCUCAGUCACUGCAAGCUGCAGGGAGUGUUGGACCCCUAAGUAGGCGGAGGGAGGAAGGGCGGACUUCAAAGGGGGGCUAUUUUUUUUAGGGUAGCUUGUCUCAAACCUGGUGAAGAAACGCUUAAGAUUCCCCCGUCUUUAGUUUGGGGGUUUUGACAUCUCUGCGCGCCGAGCAGCAAUGGGGACUCCAUAUGCCAGAUGGAUCUUCUACUGYGCUGUGACUGCAGCAUGUCUGAUGUUUGGAGGAGGAAGUGACAUCACUUUCCACCCACAUGACUACAGCACCAACCUGUGGUGGCAGCUGAUGAACAGGACUGCUCACGAGGAGAAGGAGGUGAACUGCUAUGUGUGGAUCUAUGAACUGUUCCUUUAAUGCUGACGUACGUCCGUUUUCACCAUUUCCACUAACCACAUGGAAAAUACCAGAGACCAUUUCUUUAGCAGGAGCUAAACCCGGGUCUCUGAGGAGCUGCGUUACCUCUUAAGAUGUUAUCCCAAGAGGUAACAUCUCUUGGGAUGUUACCUUGGAAUUUGUGUAGCAAAGUUUACACAUACUGCGAAACGACAUCGGAUAACAUCAACUGCAUUGCCUGCAGGGGUCAGAGGGCGACCCCAGGUUGCAAAGUCUGGAAGGGCAACCCAGACUGUGACAACGUGCUUCAGGAGAGGAGUUUCAACAUCACCCAUUGGACAAGAGGACAACAGGAAACAACACUGUGCAGCGCCAUAGUACCAGGAGACUAUGGUUCACAGGUGAUGGCAGACUGGUACUUCGUGUGUGGAAAUGGAGCUUACAUGGUCUUGCCGCGAUAUUGGGGAGGACUGUGUGCUUUGGUCCCCUUAAUCAGCCCGAUUGCAUUCAUCAGGAAAGGACAACACGUUCUAGCUGCCCGCUCCAAGCAUGCAGUUAUGCCAGAGGUCAAACGCUGGGGAGGCCUCACUACAGACACUGGAGUUCCUUGGGAGUUCAAGAUUUGGGGCAGAGGAGAAAAAUUUAUGCGAGGCAUGUUUCCAUGGGUCGGAGUAGGUGAGAUUCAGGACCAUGUUGAGAUCAACAGAUAUGGAUUACUGCGACUCAUCAACAGCACACACCAGCUGGCCAACGGCACCGUGAGAGAGCUGACUGAACUGAGAAACAUGGUUCUGCAAAACCGUGUUGUACUGGACUCCCUCAAAGCCUCUCAGGGAGGUGUCUAUAAAAUCAUUGGCCCAGCAUGCUGUACAUUUAUUCCUGACGAAACAGGAACUAGUGGAACUAUUUCUGACGCUCUACAUGACCUGGAGGAACUUAAACAUUAUGCGGAAAGUAGAAAGCAAGGAUCUCAUCCUUUUGACUUUUUUUCUUGGUUCACUUCUGGACAUGGUGGAAUUUACUGUUGAAACUUGGAACACCUAUUCUGGGUGUUAUGAUUCUUUUUUGCCUGUUCACAAGUUGCAUCAUUCCAUGCCUUCGAAGCAUGAUGCUAAAGACAAUUAACACUGCUGUGAUCAGCUAUCAGCUGGUGAAAAUAACCUAUGACACAAAUGAAGACAACUUGUUUUCUGAUGAUGAAGUUCUGUAAUCAAUAAACAGAUUAAUUCAUUUGCUGAAUGAUUCCUACAUCGAAAAUGUGAAAACAAGUGGUGUUAGUGAUGAGACAACUGCAUUUGAUUUUUGUUUUGCUGUUUCUUUUAUUUUUCAUCUAUUUCAUUAUAUUCAUAUAUUCAUUGUGUAUUUGAACGAAAAAAAAUUCUUGCAUUUAUUGGAUCUAUUCUUUUCUUUUCUAUGCUUGGCUUGUGGAUAAAGUUUACACACAUGGUAAAAUGAUAAAAAGGGGGAAAUGUUAGAGAUUUUUUGGUAUCAUUUUGUUAUUACUUUAGUUCAUAUUCAGUCUAAUGUUCAGUUUAAAGUGUUCUCUUUCUUCUGUGUGACCUGGAGGCCCCAUCUGCCUGUGUGCCUUCUUAUCAACCGGAAUACUCCCUAUUUUAGAAACUGCUUGUGUGCAGUAAUAAUUUAUCUCUGCUGUCUUCUUUAGCUAUCCUCCCUGUCUCUGCUUGAUAAUAAAUGACAAGCUGUAACCAAAGGUCUUCAGAACGCUCAGUGAACGGCUUGGAGGAGCAGUUUGCUGAGUCUUCUAUUUUUGCAAAAGCUUGGUCAUAAAAUUCAUAUACGUUGUCUGUAGUUCUUUUAUUGAAGGUUCGAGAAAAAUACCCAUCAAUCCAUGUGCAGAUCGAUUGUGAAUGCCUGUGCUUCACAGUGACGUCAGACAAUGGCCGCCAUAACUCGAAGAGGUGUAUCUUUACUUCCGGUGUGA